UUAUACUAUUAGGGCAAGCGUAUUAAAUUUAUAAUAUUAGUUUACUUUUCAUGAAAAAGAAAUAAAAUAGAUAGGUGAAAUUUCUAAGUUGGAUAAUUCUUGAAGUAAAUUUUAAAAAUCUUUCAAAGAAACUAGGAUUAGAUACCCUAUUAUUAAGAUAUUUGUAAUUAGGUAGUAAAGAUUACUCUGAAACCUAAAGAACUUGGCGGUGUUUUAAAUAAUUGGAGGAACCUGUUAUUUAAUUGAAAAUCCACAACACAUCUUACCUAAUUUUUGUUUGUAUAUCGUUGUUUAGACAGUAUUUUUCAAUAUGGUCAAUAAUAAUACAUUCUUGAAAAAUCAAAUCAAGGUGCAGCAUAAUGAGGUUAUAAUGGGUUACAUUAUGAUUUACAUAAACGGAAAAAACUGGAAGAUCUAUUUGAAGGUGGAUUCAAAAGUAAUCAAAUAAUAA
rnacentral:rRNA from 1 species